rnacentral:lncRNA from 1 species
CCCGGCUCGGAUCCCGCGUUGCUGUGGCUCUGGUGUAGGCCGGUGGCUACAGCUCCGAUUUGACCCCUAGCCUGGGAACCUCCAUAUGCCGCGGGAGCGGCCCAAAGAAAUAGCAAAAAGACAAAAAAAAAAAAAAAAAAAAAAAAAGUGGGGCCAACAUGGUCCCAGCCCUCUGAAUUUUUGACAGUUCCUCUUAAAACCAUUUUAUGAAUAUUUUCAGACAGAUGCGCAGAAGUAGAAUAGUACAGUGAAUCGCCCACCACUUAGGUUCAACAAUUAUCCAGACUUGGCUUCAUCUAGCCUCUACUUUUUUGGGGAUCCUGUCUGAAUUUGGGGAGACAGGAAUUAUUACAUCAGCUGCCCUGGUGUUCUGAGCAUGCCCUGAACUGUGUAUACCCUUGGAGGUUUUUUGUUUUUAUUCAGAGCAGCUUGAUGUAUUAUCAUAUAUCGUGAGCAAGUGUCUUUUCCUGCGUGUAUAUGAAAGGGAUCACAGAUCCUUCUAGGUCUUGCGAUUGCAUUGCUUUUAUUGCUGGCUUCCUCUGGCACCGUGUUGACUGUUUCCCGCUCAGUCCUUCCUCAAGGGAGGAGGUUCCCACAGCCGUGGAAGGGACCAGUUCUCCGGCAGCCCAUUGCUCCAGUCCGUUGGUGGUCACCGGACUAUCUGCUUUCUUUUGUAAGGAUGCAGCGAAUCCCUGCUCCUCCUCCCCAGGUGAGAAAUGACCGUCUCCAUCAAUCGUCGCUUUUCCUGGAUCUCCUCAUAGACAGGCUGCCAGCUGUUUUGUUCAUGACUGCUCAUAGGAGGCCCUUGACAAAGAUGGUGAAACCGAGGGGAAGGGAGCAGUGGCCACACAACGUUUCGCGGGGAGCGCAGCAAAGCCUCUGCGAUGGACCCCGUGCUUCGGCUACACCAGACCAGGUAAAGCCUUUAACCCG